AGCUGAUCAAUGAUUUUAUUUUUUUAAUGGCUGGUCAUGGUUUAAAAGAUCGAAUAUAAAGUAUAGGCGUUGGUUUUUCAUCAAGAACUGAACUGCUAUUAUUUUGAAUGGUCAUUAUUUGAACGUUGGUAUGGUCUUGAAUUUUGAUUUACAAGUUCAUUCACGUUGUCAACACUGUCACUGAGCUUCUCAGUGUUACUUGUACUGAAGUAGCACAUAGGCACAACGUUGGCAAAGAUAUUG